rnacentral:rRNA from 1 species
AGCGUAAUAGCUCACUGGUCGAGUCGGCCUGCGCGGAAGAUGUAACGGGGCUAAACCAUGCACCGAAGCUGCGGCAGCGACGCUGAUGCGUUGUUGGGUAGGGGAGCGUUCUGUAAGCCUGUGAAGGUGGCCUGUGAGGGUUGCUGGAGGUAUCAGAAGUGCGAAUGCUGACAUAAGUAACGAUAAAGCGGGUGAAAAGCCCGCUCGCCGGAAGACCAAGGGUUCCUGUCCAACGUUAAUCGGGGCAGGGUGAGUCGACCCCUAAGGCGAGGCCGAAAGGCGUAGUCGAUGGGAAACGGGUUAAUAUUCCCGUACUUGGUGUUACUGCGAAGGGGGGACGGAGAAGGCUAUGUUGGCCGGGCGACGGUUGUCCCGGUUUAAGCGUGUAGGUGUGUGUUCCAGGUAAAUCCGGUUCACUUUAACACUGAGGCGUGAUGACGAGGCACUACGGUGCUGAAGCAACAAAUGCCCUGCUUCCAGGAAAAGCCUCUAAGCAUCAGGUAACAUCAAAUCGUACCCCAAACCGACACAGGUGGUCAGGUAGAGAAUACCAAGGCGCUUGAGAGAACUCGGGUGAAGGAACUAGGCAAAAUGGUGCCGUAACUUCGGGAGAAGGCACGCUGACACGUAGGUGAAGUGAUUUACUCAUGGAGCUGAAGUCAGUCGAAGAUACCAGCUGGCUGCAACUGUUUAUUAAAAACACAGCACUGUGCAAACACGAAAGUGGACGUAUACGGUGUGACGCCUGCCCGGUGCCGGAAGGUUAAUUGAUGGGGUCAGCGCAAGCGAAGCUCCUGAUCGAAGCCCCGGUAAACGGCGGCCGUAACUAUAACGGUCCUAAGGUAGCGAAAUUCCUUGUCGGGUAAGUUCCGACCUGCACGAAUGGCGUAAUGAUGGCCAGGCUGUCUCCACCCGAGACUCAGUGAAAUUGAACUCGCUGUGAAGAUGCAGUGUACCCGCGGCAAGACGGAAAGACCCCGUGAACCUUUACUAUAGCUUGACACUGAACAUUGAGCCUUGAUGUGUAGGAUAGGUGGGAGGCUUUGAAGUGUGGACGCCAGUCUGCAUGGAGCCGGCCUUGAAAUACCACCCUUUAAUGUUUGAUGUUCUAACGUGGACCCGUGAUCCGGGUUGCGGACAGUGUCUGGUGGGUAGUUUGACUGGGGCGGUCUCCUCCUAAAGAGUAACGGAGGAGCACGAAGGUUGGCUAAUCCUGGUCGGACAUCAGGAGGUUAGUGCAAUGGCAUAAGCCAGCUUGACUGCGAGCGUGACGGCGCGAGCAGGUGCGAAAGCAGGUCAUAGUGAUCCGGUGGUUCUGAAUGGAAGGGCCAUCGCUCAACGGAUAAAAGGUACUCCGGGGAUAACAGGCUGAUACCGCCCAAGAGUUCAUAUCGACGGCGGUGUUUGGCACCUCGAUGUCGGCUCAUCACAUCCUGGGGCUGAAGUAGGUCCCAAGGGUAUGGCUGUUCGCCAUUUAAAGUGGUACGCGAGCUGGGUUUAGAACGUCGUGAGACAGUUCGGUCCCUAUCUGCCGUGGGCGCUGGAGAACUGAGGGGGGCUGCUCCUAGUACGAGAGGACCGGAGUGGACGCAUCACUGGUGUUCGGGUUGUCAUGCCAAUGGCACUGCCCGGUAGCUAAAUGCGGAAGAGAUAAGUGCUGAAAGCA